GCCGAGAUAGCUCAGCUGGUAGAGCAGCUCACUUGUAAUGAGCAGGUCGUCGGUCCGAAUCCGACUCUCGGCU
rnacentral:tRNA from 1 species